rnacentral:RNase_P_RNA from 1 species
GAAGCCUGCCAGGCCGCCGCUGGUGCAAGUCUCGAAAGAGCGCACUGGAGGAACGUCCGGACUGCACAGGACAGCGUAGGAGCUAACGGCUCUCCACCGUGAGGUGAGGAUCAGAGCAACAGAGACGAGUCGCUUGGGCAACCAGGCGGGUGAAACGGGCAAUCUCUACGCGCAGCAACACCAAGUAGGCCAGUCACGGGAGCAGGGCAACCUCUCUCGACCUUGUGGUUCCGCAGGGCGAGCUGGCGGGUAGGUGGCACCGAGCCGGGUGGGCGACCCCCGGCCCAGAUUGAUGGCGGUCACGCAUCCGGGGCAACCCGGGCGCGCACAGAAUCCGGCGUAUCGGCAGACUUCACAC